AGCCGAAACGCCCGAUAGGGCGUCCGUAGGGGAUCGCCUCUCUGCGCUGAAGAUGGCAGGCGAGA
rnacentral:hammerhead_ribozyme from 3 species